rnacentral:rRNA from 1 species
GACGAACGCUGGCGGCGUGCUUAACACAUGCAAGUCGAACGGAAAGGCCCUGCUUUUGUGGGGUGCUCGAGUGGCGAACGGGUGAGUAACACGUGAGUAACCUGCCCUUGACUUUGGGAUAACUUCAGGAAACUGGGGCUAAUACCGGAUAGGAGCUCCUGCUGCAUGGUGGGGGUUGGAAAGUUUCGGCGGUUGGGGAUGGACUCGCGGCUUAUCAGCUUGUUGGUGGGGUAGUGGCUUACCAAGGCUUUGACGGGUAGCCGGCCUGAGAGGGUGACCGGCCACAUAGGGACUGAGAUACGGCCCAGACUCAUACGGGAGGCAGCAGUGGGGAAUAUUGCACAAUGGGCGGAAGCCUGAUGCAGCAACGCCGCGUGCGGGAUGACGGCCUUCGGGUUGUAAACCGCUUUCGCCUGUGACGAAGCGUGAGUGACGGUAAUGGGUAAAGAAGCACCGGCUAACUCCGU